UGAUCAGUGAGACGUAUGGUUUUACCCGU
rnacentral:sRNA from 1 species